CUAGCUCCUCUCAAGAUUAGCUCGAGUUCGUGCAGUUGUCCGCCGCCAGCUCCGCCUACCGCGUCGCCAUCCAACUCCGCCGCCUGCUCCGUCCACGCCGCCGACCGCUUCUUCGUGCCGCCACCACCGCUGCAGACGUAGGCGAGAUCGACGGCAAGCGCGCGAGGCCCCUACUUCCUCCUCCGAAGCUGUCGGCGAGGACUGCCUCAGCACGCUCCCCGAGCCCGGCGAGGGCGACGGGAAGGGAGCCGGAGCGGACACAGCGGCCGCCGCGCGGACCAGCGUCCUCUACCGCCACUGGUGCCGAGUCUGGGCGCUCCUCCCGGAGCUCAGCUUCACCUUCGAAUCCAUGCCCGACCUCCUUGACGACACCCUCCCCGCACACGAGGUGGAUCUCCUGGCGACCAUGGCGUCCGUCCUGGCACUGGCUCUCGGCGGCGGCGUUGCUCUUUCGGCGUUCGGCUUCUGAGCCGGGAGGUCUAGUCAUCCACUCAGCUGGAGGUGCCACCACCCCUCCUCCUCGUCAUCCGCUCGUGCAGCAAGAAGAUGUCAAGGUUUGGUAGUCGAGCUCUUCGGCGGUGGGAUGACAAGGAUGAAUCUGAUGUUGACGAUCUAUUGAUCAUUGCCGGUCUUCUUGAGGGCUCGAAGAGAAACAAGCAGAAGAAAAAGUUUCCGUGGAUCAUUGCCGGGUCGCCACAACGUGCCAAGGGACAUUCUGGGAAGUCAUCGUCCGCGGCCUCCUCGUACAUGAGUACUGGCGAUGAUGUCGUGCUGCGGGCGUCAAAGGUGGCGGCGGUGGAGAAUGGUGGUGAAGCACCUUGAGGCUCCGUGAAGGUGGACGUCUGACGAUCGCGUGGAGGAACGAGCACAUCGUUGGGGAGCUGACAAGGUAGGCCGCCGGGGGAGAUGGCAGAUCUUGCCGACGAGGAAGGCCGACAGCGGGAGGAUUUGCGAUACGACGGGGAUGCGUUGCAACGAACGGACCACGUCGCAUCUUCUCCGGGGGAGCCGUCGUCGGACGGGGAGGCCGCCCGCCGCCGGAGAUGGAGCAGGACGCCUGCGUGGAUCUGUCCAUGGAGAAGAAGGAGGGGCGACGGCGACGGCGACGGCGCGGUGGGAGACGGCGGCGGGCGGAGAUGGCGCGGUGCUGGGCGCGGCGGGCGGCACCUCGUGUUGGGGCCGGCUCCUGUGCUGGCAGCGGGCGCCAGCAAAAGGAAAUGGGAGUCCUGUAUUUCCAUAGGCUUGGGGUUUCAAUUUGGAGGCACAUGCAAAAAGGGAGUCCAAAUAGAGCCUCCACUGGAGUUGUGUUUUAGCCCAAAACUCCUAAAAAAUGGGAGACUUAGGGGUGGAGUUGCUCUCAGAACACUUUGACCAUGAUGGAUUUCCAGCGCGAGUCAUUUCUUUCGCGCAAAUUUUA